rnacentral:rRNA from 1 species
GAACGGGUGAGUAACACGUGAGUAACCUGCCCUUGACUCUAGGAUAAGCCCGGGAAACUGGGUCUAAUACUGGAUAGGAACGUCUACCGCAUGGUGGAUGUUGGAAAGAAUUUCGGUCAUGGAUGGACUCGCGGCCUAUCAGCUUGUUGGUGAGGUAAUGGCUCACCAAGGCGACGACGGGUAGCCGGCCUGAGAGGGUGACCGGCCACACUGGGACUGAGACACGGCCCAGACUCCUACGGGAGGCAGCAGUGGGGAAUAUUGCACAAUGGGCGAAAGCCUGAUGCAGCGACGCCGCGUGAGGGAUGACGGCCUUCGGGUUGUAAACCUCUUUCAGUAGGGAAGAAGCGAAAGUGACGGUACCUGCAGAAGAAGCACCGGCUAACUACGUGCCAGCAGCCGCGGUAAUACGUAGGGUGCGAGCGUUAUCCGGAAUUAUUGGGCGUAAAGAGCUCGUAGGCGGUUUGUCGCGUCUGUCGUGAAAGUCCGGGGCUUAACCCCGGAUCUGCGGUGGGUACGGGCAGACUAGAGUGCAGUAGGGGAGACUGGAAUUCCUGGUGUAGCGGUGGAAUGCGCAGAUAUCAGGAGGAACACCGAUGGCGAAGGCAGGUCUCUGGGCUGUAACUGACGCUGAGGAGCGAAAGCAUGGGGAGCGAACAGGAUUAGAUAC